rnacentral:rRNA from 1 species
GAUGAACGCUGGCGGCGUGCCUAGUACAUGCAAGUCGAGCGAACGGACGAGAAGCUUGCUUCUCUGAUGUUAGCGGCGGACGGGUGAGUAACACGUGGAUAACCUACCUAUAAGACUGCGAUAACUUCGGGAAACCGGAGCUAAUACCGGAUAAUAUUUUGAACCGCAUGGUUCAAAAGUGAAAGACGGUCUUGCUGUCACUUAUAGAUGGAUCCGCGCUGCAUUAGCUAGUUGGUAAGGUAACGGCUUACCAAGGCAACGAUGCAUAGCCGACCUGAGAGGGUGAUCGGCCACACUGGAACUGAGACACGGUCCAGACUCCUACGGGAGGCAGCAGUAGGGAAUCUUCCGCAAUGGGCGAAAGCCUGACGGAGCAACGCCGCGUGAGUGAUGAAGGUCUUCGGAUCGUAAAACUCUGUUAUUAGGGAAGAACAUAUGUGUAAGUAACUGUGCACAUCUUGACGGUACCUAAUCAGAAAGCCACGGCUAACUACGUG